AGAGUUUGAUCCUGGCUCAGAUUGAACGCUGGCGGCAGGCUUAACACAUGCAAGUCGAGCGGAGAUGAGGUGCUUGCACCUUAUCUUAGCGGCGGACGGGUGAGUAAUGCUUAGGAAUCUGCCAUUUAGUGGGGGACAACAUUCCGAAAGGAAUGCUAAUACCGCAUACGUCCUACGGGAGAAAGCAGGGGAUCUUCGGACCUUGCGCUAAAUGAUGAGCCUAAGUCGGAUUAGCUAGUUGGUGGGGUAAAGGCCUACCAAGGCGACGAUCUGUAGCGGGUCUGAGAGGAUGAUCCGCCACACUGGGACUGAGACACGGCCCAGACUCCUACGGGAGGCAGCAGUGGGGAAUAUUGGACAAUGGGGGGAACCCUGAUCCAGCCAUGCCGCGUGUGUGAAGAAGGCCUUUUGGUUGUAAAGCACUUUAAGCGAGGAGGAGGCUACCUAGAUUAAUACUCUGGGAUAGUGGACGUUACUCGCAGAAUAAGCACCGGCUAACUCUGUGCCAGCAGCCGCGGUAAUACAGAGGGUGCGAGCGUUAAUCGGAUUUACUGGGCGUAAAGCGUGCGUAGGCGGCUGAUUAAGUCGGAUGUGAAAUCCCUGAGCUUAACUUAGGAAUUGCAUUCGAUACUGGUCAGCUAGAGUAUGGGAGAGGAUGGUAGAAUUCCAGGUGUAGCGGUGAAAUGCGUAGAGAUCUGGAGGAAUACCGAUGGCGAAGGCAGCCAUCUGGCCUAAUACUGACGCUGAGGUACGAAAGCAUGGGGAGCAAACAGGAUUAGAUACCCUGGUAGUCCAUGCCGUAAACGAUGUCUACUAGCCGUUGGGGCCUUUGAGGCUUUAGUGGCGCAGCUAACGCGAUAAGUAGACCGCCUGGGGAGUACGGUCGCAAGACUAAAACUCAAAUGAAUUGACGGAAUCGUCGACCUGCAGGCAUGCAAG
rnacentral:rRNA from 1 species